rnacentral:rRNA from 1 species
UACAGAGACUGCAAGCGUUAUUCGGAUUCACUGGGCGUAAGGGUGCGCAGGCGGCCAAGUGUGUUAGGCGUGAAAGCCCGGGGCUUAACCCCGGAAUUGCACCUAAAACUACAUGGCUAGAGCAUUGGAGAGGGUAGCGGAAUUCACGGUGUAGCAGUGAAAUGCGUAGAUAUCGUGAGGAACACCAGAGGCGAAGGCGGCUACCUGGACAAUUGCUGACGCUCAGGCACGAAAGCGUGGGGAGCAAAAGGG